rnacentral:rRNA from 1 species
GAUUCUGGCUCAGGACGAACGCUGGCGGCGUGCUUAACACAUGCAAGUUGAACGGUAUGACAUGGAAGCUUGCUGAAGUGUCAUAUAGUAGCGGACGGGUGAGUAAUGCAUGAGAAGCUGCCAUUGGGAGGGGGACAACAGUUGGAAACGGCUGCUAAUACCCCGUAUGCCGGAGGGUGAAAGGGAGUAAUCCGCCCGAUGAGGUGCUCAUGUCCUAUCAGCUGGUUGGUGGGGUAACGGCCUACCAAGGCGACGACGGGUAGCCGGCCUGAGAGGGUGAACGGCCACACUGGAACUGAGAUACGGUCCAGACUCCUACGGGAGGCAGCAGUGGGGAAUAUUGGGCAAAUGGGGGCAACCCUGACCCAGCGACGCCGCGUGGGGGAAGACGGCCUUCGGGUUGUAAACCUCUUUUGUACGGGAAGAAGGAAGUGACGGUACUGUACGAAUAAGUCCCGGCUAACUACGUGCCAGCAGCCGC